UAGCAGCCUUAUUUAUAAUCGCCAGAAUCUGGAAAGAACCCAGAUGCCCCUCAACAGAAGAAUGGAUACAGAAAAUGUGGUACAUUUACACAAUGGAGUAUUAGUCAGCUAUUAAAAAGAAUGAAUUUAUGAAAUUCCUAGGCAAAUGGAUGGACCUGGAGGGCAUUAUCCUUAGUGAGGUAACCCAAUAACAAAAGAACUCACAUGAUAUGUACUCACUGAUAAGUGGAUAUUAACUCAGAAACUUAGAAUACCCAAGAUACAAGAUACAAAGCAUAUGAAACUCAAGAAGAACAAACACCAAAGUGUGGACACUUUGCCCCUUCUUAGAAUUGGGAAUAAAACAUCCCUGGACCGAGUUACAGAGACAAAGUAUGGAGCUGAGAUAAAAGGAUUGAACAUCUAGAGACUACCAUAUCCAGGAAUCCAUUCCAUAAUCUGCCACCAAACGCAGACACCAUUGCAUACACUACCAAGAUUUUGCUGAAAGGACCCAGAUAUAGCUGUCUCUUGUGAGACUAUGCCGGGGCCUAGCAAACACAGAAGUGGAUGCUCACAGUCAGCUAUUGGAUGGAUCACAGAGCCCCCAAUGGAGGAGCUAGAGAAAGUAUUCAAGGAGCUAAAGGGAUCUGCAAACCUAUAGGUGGAACAACAAUAUGAACUAACCAGUACCCCCCGCAGCUCGUGUCUCUAGCUGCAUUUGUAUCAGAAGAUGGCCUAGCUGGCCAUCAGUGGAAAAAGAGGCCCAUUGGUCGUGCAACCUUUAUAUGCCUCAGUACAGGGGAAUGCCAGGGCCAAGAAGUGGGAGUGGGUUGGUACGGGAGUGGGGUGGAGGGUAUGGGGGACUUUUGGGAUAGCAUUGGAAAUGUAAAUGAGGAAAAUACCUAAUUAAAAAAUAACAAUAAUAAUAAAUCCAAUUCUAAAAACCUGUCUGCUCUCAUAUGCUCCUUUAACUUGCCUCAAUGCAAAUAUACAUGCAGCUCACAAGAGAAUUCCUCGAGCAUCUUUCUUCCAGACCCAGUGGCCUGUUGGAGAAGGGACACCAGACACACGAACAGUGUGAAGCCAGGAGACAUCCUUAGCACACAUUAUCGAAUAUUUGUGAAUGACGUUCAACCAGGAAGAGUAGCACAUUUUUGCAAUCCCAAGAAUGAGAAGGUAGAGCGAGGAAGAUUUGGAAGUUAAUGUCAGUCUCAGGUAAAUG
rnacentral:lncRNA from 1 species